rnacentral:tRNA from 1 species
AAGGGUAUAGCUCGAAGUAGCAGAGUGCAUGCUUAGCAUGCAUGAGGUCCUGGGUUCAAUCCCCAGUACCUCCU